rnacentral:lncRNA from 1 species
AAACUUAGUUAUUAUGUUUAACCUAAUCAAACUUAUAUACCCUCACAUUUAGCUAUAACUAUCCAAUUGUGACACCCCAACUUCCCAGGGGUCACCCAUCCUAGGAAUACUCCCGUCCUAGCACGCUUAACUCUCUUAACCUCUUGGGCCUUGCCACCACCCAAAAUGCUUAAGCCGGGUUAAGACUUUAGCCCUAUUAUAUCUUUUAUAUAUAGGGCUAUCUAGGGUCUCACAAUCUCCCCUUCUUUAAGCCCUGACGUCCUCGUCAGACUCAGACUCACAAGUACCAGGCGAUGUGAGGCUCGUCUCGCUAGCCCGUCAUCCAGACCUUGGCUCAGCCGAGACUCAUCUCACACUUCCGGCUGGUAAUUGGCUCUGAUACCAUCUAUAACGACCCAGCCCACUAGCAACAAUAACUCGUUGGGCCCAACAACCGGCCCAAAAUGCUUAAGCCCAGUUAUUAUUACCAGUGUCUAAGUCUCAUAUAAACUCAAUGACAACCCCAUUCCUAUCCGAUGUGGGACUAUUGGGGUGUCACACCAAUGUUAGAUUAUUGAGGUGUCACAUACUCCUCCUAUUUAGGUCCUGACGUCCUUGUCAGUCUUAAACGCACACACAGCGCAAAAUUACCGAGCGAUGUGAGACUUGUCGAUCUCGCCAGCUUUUGUCAUUCUGAUACUGACAUAACUUGUCUUUUAUUGACCCUGGCUUAAUCUGUCAUUCCGACUCUGACUAAGUCAAAACUCAUCUCACACUUCCAGCCGGUGAACCGGCUUUAAUAUCAAAUGUAACGACCCGACCUGCUAGCAAUAAUAACUUGUAGGGCCUAAACUAUCGGCACAAAAUACUUAAGUUCAGUUAUUAUGCCUAGCCUAAUCAAGUUUAUAUAUCUCCACAUCUAGUCAUAUCUAUUCGAUAUAAGAUUAUU